GCUAGUGGCAGACGGGUGAGUAACACGUGGGAACGUACCUUUUGGUUCGGAAUAAUACAGGGAAACUUGUACUAAUACCGGAUACGCCCUUUGGGGGAAAGAUUUAUCGCCGAAAGAUCGGCCCGCGUCUGAUUAGCUAGUUGGUGAGGUAAUGGCUCACCAAGGCGACGAUCAGUAGCUGGUCUGAGAGGAUGAUCAGCCACACUGGGACUGAGACACGGCCCAGACUCCUACGGGAGGCAGCAGUGGGGAAUAUUGGACAAUGGGCGAAAGCCUGAUCCAGCCAUGCCGCGUGUGUGAUGAAGGCCUUAGGGUUGUAAAGCACUUUUGUCCGGGAAGAUAAUGACUGUACCGGAAGAAUAAGCCCCGGCUAACUUCGUG
rnacentral:rRNA from 1 species